AAAAAUUCAUCGAGCUUUUUGACAGCACAACAUUAAAUUGUUUGCAUAGUUGCAUGACAUUGCUCAGCGAAUACUUGGAAAUAUAAUAAAAUCAAUUGUGAUUUAUAGAAAUGCGCAGACAGUUACUUACUCAACUUAAGGAACAGGAAGAGCUGCAUUUGCAAGAAGUGAAUGAGCUUCGAAAACAGCUGGAGGCAAAAGAUGAUACAUAUAUGCCAUAAGUUGGAGCAAGAUAUUUUCCGCGUGUGUGAAAAUCCAGAAUACAUUCAAAUGCGACAGCAAUUGCAGGACACUAUGAAAUGUCAAGAAGAAAUGCAUUUAAGAGAAAUAAAUGAGAUGCGCCAGAAGCUGGAUCUUGGAGAAAACAUAUGCAUGGAGAAGGAGCAGCAAAUAAAGGUUCUCGAGGAGCGUCUGGAAUUGAGUAGUUCUUGUGCCAUAUGCAUGGAUACUUUCAAUACUUCCAAUCAUCGCUUGGUUGCAUUGUCGUGUGGUCAUCUUUUCGGUGAUCCAUGCGUUCGAGAAUGUUUGCGCAGAAAUCCUUUAUGUCCAGAAUGUCGCGAUAUUGUUUCAGUAAAUGAUAUACGCUAUUUGUUUCCACGUUAUUUGUAAUUUCUUAAAUCAACCUGAAUAAUUAAUACCUAUUUGUGUUGAAAAAUUUGAAUAACCAUAUUUUCUCUUGCCUCAAAAGAGGAUUCAACCAAUUUUUUAUUUUUACUAUAGAACAUUUAAUUGUCUUUUAAUAUAUGGAGGGUUUUGUUUUUCCUUACUAAUCUUAACGACAGCUGAAAGCGCAGCAAAAUCCAAAGUUUAGUUGAACAUUCUGCAAAUGUUUUAUACUAACAAAUCAUACCGAAGUCAACAAUUAUGUACAUAUGUGCACAGAAAAUAAGCUAAAAAUGCUAUAUACAUACUACGAUACAGUUGAAGAGCCGAUUCAACAGAAGCUGCGAUUGCAAUGGAACAAAACAAUGGUCAUUGAAUGCGCCGGAUGCAGUUGCAAGUUGCAAAAUUGUUGCGGCGAGUGCCAUUUGUUCAAAUUGCAUUGAGAACGGGCAAAAUAAAUGCCGAAAAUACAAUUAUGGCCGCUGAUCACAACACGAUCUGCAAUAGAAAAUGCAACCACCAAAGAAAGCAAAUCAAUGGCUGCGUUAAACUGUAAUCGGCAUUCCUCAAUAGAGUUGGUUUAGCUCAUUCUAAUGCAAACAUCGACAUGGCUACAAGAAGCAGACAACACAGUCACCUUUGGCAAUGGCUUUGGUUGCUGUUGCUGUUGCUGCUGCUGCUGCCAAUUGAUGGUUAUUGCCAAUUUGUAUGCGACUGUUGUGGCGGCAUUGAAUACACUACACAGAACACACCAGCAUAUCAUUUUCAGGUCUAGGAAGUGGCAGCAACACACAACGGCAAACAAUAACAGAUGCUGGCGAUAAUAGCGAUAAUAAUUGUCAUUAUCUUUUCAGCUCAAAAUCAGCCACAAGGCCCAUUCAAGGCACAAGCUAUACACAGCUCCAUCUCCGACUCCAUCCCCAUCUCCAGCCGCAGUGAAUUCCCAAUGCCGUUGUCUAACUAUGAAAAUCCAUACAAUUGCCCCGUUUGCCACACUUUCCCAGACCCGCACAAUGGACCCGGAGAGCUUAUAGAUACUUUGUUUUUUUUUUUCUUUUUAUCAUAGAAAUAGCCAAAACGUUUCACAGUGUCCAGUUUGCAUACAUUUUUGGGUAAAGCUAGGCAAUAAAAUUUACAAAAAUAUGUGUUGAAAACAACAACUUUUUGCCAUUUGCAUAUCAAGCAAAUUGGGGCGCCCCCAAAACAAAAACGAUGAAGAAAAUAAUGUACAGACAUAUUAUAAGAAAGAAAAAAAAAAAGACCAACAAGCACUCAGGGUCCAAAUGGAGUCAUAAAACUUGAUAAAUGCUACACAUUUGCUGAACUUUUCCCUAAAUGAUAAUGCUCUCAGCGACGCCUCACAUCU